CAGCCGCCGCGGUAAUACAGAGGAUGCAAGCGUUAUCCGGAAUCACUGGGCAUAAAGCGUCUGUAGGUGGUUUGGUAAGUCUGCUGUUAAAGACUGGGGCUCAACCCCAGAAAAGCAGUGGAAACUGCCAGACUUGAGUGUGGUAGAGGUAGAGGGAAUUCCUAGUGUAGCGGUGAAAUGCGUAGAUAUUAGGAAGAACACCAAUGGCGAAGGCACUCUACUGGACCAUAACUGACACUGAGAGACGACAGCUAGGGGAGCAAAUGGGAUUAGAUACCCCAGUAGUCCUAGCCGUAAACGAUGGAUACUAGAUGUUGCACGUAUUAACCCGUGCAGUAUCGUAGCUAAGGCGUUAAGUAUCCCGCCUGGGAAGUACGCUCGCAAGAGUGAAACUCAAAUGAAUUGACGG
rnacentral:rRNA from 1 species